CUAAUCAGUUUUGUGCUGACAGAGAGGAUUCUAAUUAAAAUACUGAUUCUCAAAAUUAACGUGUAUCAUAUUGCUUGAAACUAAACAACCAUAUAAAAGUGGUAAUUGUUAACCUAAACAAUGAUUACGAAAUACAACUGGCAUAUACUUGAGCUGAGUGUUGAGUUCAUGAUGGUUCACUUACAAUAAAAGUACUUUUACUAACGCUAACAUGAUAUGUAUUUCUAUACUAUCUCUUGAAGUUAUAAAAAUAUUAUAUAAAAUACCACAGACUUUAGAGGAUAUAAGUUCAUGUGGUUCUGAUACUAGCAGCUGGAAAAUGUUUAUAAUUUAAAAAAUAAAUAAACUAUCGAAGUAAACCAGUUACAAAACAGCAGAGAACUGUGAUAGCAUGAGAACAGCUUAAUUAUACAACAGCUAACAGAACGGUGAUGCGGUUGGAUCAAAUGUCUUAAAAACCUCUUUCAGAGAUUUGUCAUCUGUUUCUCUGCUUGGAUCAUCAUCUGGGCUUGGGCUUGCCUGUCCUGGCUCUCUUGCCUGCCUUGGAUCACUGUAUGGAGGUCUCAUUAAGCCUGUUAAGGCCGGAACAGGAAGACUGUGCACGGCGGGGACCUGAACUGUAUCAUCACUCCUGAGAGGAUCUGCCUGCAUGUCCACUGGCCCCUCAGCAGGGACUUCCAUGUCCGCAGGAGUUUUCUGUAGCAUCACUUCUCCAGGGGAAGGCUCAUUUUUAUCACUAUUUUUUAAACCAGUUUUUUCCUGGUUCUCAGCAUUUUCUUCUGAAGAAAUGCUUGCUAGCUCUGAUGAAGACAAUGACUGCUUCUCCCUAGGAUCAUACAAACUAAUGCCACUAAGAACUGAACUUGAAGUUCCCAGUGGGAGGCCAGCUGAAGAAGAGAGUUUGGGGGCAUAUGGAGGAAGAGCCACAGGACCAGCGUUGAUUCAUUUUGGCUUUGGCUGCGGAUUUUGGAUCAAGGGACAGGGCACUCUGAUGAUCACCUUUUGUAUUCCAUAACCUACUAAGCCUCUGGUCAGCGAUAAGUGGAGGCAGAGGUAAGUUGAUUGAAGAUACUGGGUCGGGUUUGGGUAAAGGGACCGGAAGUAAGUCUUCUGGAGCCCACACGAUGUGUUUUGCGAAGUUGGGUUUGGAUAGAAUAAUGUCCAUUUUAAUGUGACUGAACUGUCUUAACUGUGACCUUGGGUCCUGGAGUACCACUCCAGGUAAAGAAUCCAAAGGUAUCAAGAAUGCUUUUUCUCUCAGUUCUCUUUCUGUGUCUUCAUCAUCAUCGUCCCUUCUCUGGAGUUUGCGAUUUGCCCCAGUGUUUGCGUGGUGUAAAUCGAACUUUGCUCCACUAGCAGCAGAGCCUCCGGAAGCACUUCCAUUCCCUCUUACUUUCCUGGGAUCCCACACAAGUCUAAGAUCCACUGGGACAGACUCAUGCGGCUUCCUAACGUCUUGCCUUGGGACAGUGCGAAGCCUUGGGUCAACCACUUGACUUCCUUUCCUCUUGUCUCUGGCAAGUCUUGGGUCAGUAGGAACGCCAAGCUCUGUGGGAGGGUGUUGCUGACUUCUUAGAGGUCCUGUCUGUUUCUGUAAUGUUCUCAGAAUGGACCUGACAGCACUUCCCUCUUCCUCUUCACUACUGGAGUACCAGUUAACUGGAUCAUCUACAGACAGACAGAAGCUGUGGUUAAAAAGAAAGCAUUCAUAGUUGACCUUAAGUAAGACUAAAAGCAAUACUAUUUCUGAACUUAGUAUAAUACCUAAAAAGGAUCGCCACCUACUUGGCUACAUGUACUCUUGCCUCUGAACAAGAGUACUGAUUCCUCCACUCCUAGUAACGAUCAAAUUUAGACAGUUUCUAUCCAAGUGUAUUCUCAAUGUUUAGUAUGGAAAAUAGAAGGGCUGAUCCUACAUCAUCUGGUUUUAGGUACAUGCACAGUAAGGCAAACUGUGACUUUAAGUAAACUUUUAGGAAGGAUACUCUAUCCGCCAUCCUUUUUUAUUCUUGUGUAGAAAUAUAACCUUGCAACUGUUAGUUAAAGCCUGUCAUAGAAGCCAGAAGCAGUUCUAAGAUGAGGGCUACAAGGUACACUGGAGGGGACGGUGCAGAAGCACUCAUUUUCACAUCUUAACCUAUUUCAAAAGGGAAGGAGCUAUCCAACCUUCUUCCUUGCUGGAUGCUCUCUGAGGCUGGCUGCCAGCUGGUUCCUCAUCCUCUUGGUACCUCUGAGUCAGGCGGAUGAAAAGAGCUCUCUGCACUGCAGGAGGGAGCCCUGAAGCAGGCAGAGGACAGUGACCUGGCACACUGCUGCUGGGCUCAGGCCCACUCCCAGCCUUAGGGGAGUCAUGAGCCAUAGGAGGCUGCUGCUGCUGCUGCUGCUGUGCAAACUCUUCCUGCCACAUCUCAUCUACAGACACAACAGAAGAGACACCGUGAGCUCAAACUCCACCAAAGUGUGAGAGACUGAGUCUCUCCUAAUCACCACACUGGAUUCCUAAGUUGCUGUAUAAUUAAAUAUUUUUUAAAAUUUUAAA